rnacentral:rRNA from 1 species
AGUUGAUCACUCGGCUCGUGCCCCAUAGUACCAGUAAGAUGCGAGAGCAAAUGUGAAUUGCAGGACUCACUGAUCAUCGACAUUUCGAACGCAAAUGGCGGUUCGGGUCCCUUGUGACUCGAACCACGCCCGACUGAGCGUCC